rnacentral:rRNA from 1 species
UGAGUAACCUGCCCUUAACUCUGGGAUAACCCCGGGAAACCGGAGCUAAUACCGGAUACUCCGGCUGGAUCGCAUGGUCCGGCCGGGAAAGGUCCGCCGGAGAGGGAUGGGCCCGCGGCCUAUCAGCUAGUUGGUGUGGGUAAUGGCCCACCAAGGCGACGACGGGUAGCCGGCCUGAGAGGGUGACCGGCCACACUGGGACUGAGACACGGCCCAGACUCCUACGGGAGGCA